rnacentral:rRNA from 1 species
UACGUAGGGUGCGAGCGUUAAUCGGAAUUACUGGGCGUAAAGCGUGCGCAGGCGGUCUGCUAAGACAGGUGUGAAAUCCCUGGGCUCAACCUAGGAAUUGCGCUUGUGACUGGCGGGCUAGAGUACGGUAGAGGGGGGUGGAAUUCCUGGUGUAGCAGUGAAAUGCGUAGAGAUCAGGAGGAACACCGAUGGCGAAGGCAGCCCCCGGGGCCUGUAAUGACCUUCAGGCACGAAAGCGUGGGGAGCAAACAGG